rnacentral:rRNA from 1 species
AUUGAACGCUGGCGGCAGGCCUAACACAUGCAAGUAGAGCGAGCGGCGGACGCGUGAGUAUAGUAUGGGGAAUGCCCGCCAGCGGGGGAGAACUACUGGAAACGGUGGCUAAUACCGCCUCCUCUCGGAUUACCACUAUGGGAUUAGCUAGUAGGUAAGGUAAUGGCUUACCUAGGCGACGCUCCCUAGCAGGUCUGAGAGGAUGAUCAGCCACACUGGGACUGAGACACGGCCCAGACUCCUACGGAGGCAGCAGUGGGGAAUAUUGCACAAUGGGCGCAAGCCUGAUGCAGCCAUGCCGCGUGUAGGAAGAAGGCCCUAGGGUUGUAAAGUACUUUCAGUCGGGAGGCGUUACCGACAGAAGAAGCACCGGCUAACUCCGUGCCAGCAGCCGCGGUAAUUC